AAGUAACUAACACAACACAGCCAGGUACUGUGUGCUAGGUGCUGGGGACACAGUGUUAACAAGGUGGGACUAGCUGAAAACCUGGUGUGAUGACUGUUGUGAAGUAGGAUCAGUAGGAAGAUUGGGAACGUAAUUAGCGGGUUAAUCUAGUUGGUGGAAGUCUGUGAGGGAAAGUCACUCAGGAAGUGAGUAGUUAAAGAAGUAAGUAGUUAUGAGGAAGUGGUAGUUAAGCUGAGACUUGAAGGCUGAGUAGGAGUAAGCCAGGUGAAAGAGAGGCACAUUAAGGAAGGGGAAACAGCAUGUACAAAAUACCUGAGACCAAUGAGAACCUUCCCCAUUCAAGGAACCUGAAAAAAGUGGGCCAUGAACAGCAAAGGAGAGCACCUCUGGAAAUGAGCUAGCCAAGAAGGCAAGGCUGACUGAGAUAGCAGCUCCCUUCCUCACUCACAGUAAAGAACAGGUAGUAGUGGUAUAAUUCUGGCUGUGGCCAUUGCCCAGAUUUGAGGUGUGCCAGUCUCAAAGCCACCUUUCUUACCUUAUAGCUGGCAUGAAAUCAUCAGAUCUUCGACCUACUUAUUUAUUUAUUUUUUCCAGAUGGAUUUUAAGUUACCAACUUUCCCUUACUACUUUGCAGAGGUGUAAUGGACAAAACUCUAAAAUAUUUAAAGCAUACAACAUAAUGAUUUGAUAUACAUGUGUAUUGUGAGUGGAUGUCUAAAAUUGAGUUUAUUAUUAGUACAAGUUUACAGUAUUUCAAUCUUAGGGCCAACAAACUCUUAACUCUGCAUUCUAUUAUAGGUAUUAAGUUGGUACUGGGUACCCAAGGGGCAGAGGUCCCUGAGAUUUGUAGGGCCACUUUCUGUAGCCCCUUGAACUGUGAAGAAAAUCUGCCAUUGCAGGAGUCAGCUUGACACUGUAUAGCAGCUCUGCUCUGGCUCCAAAGAAAGCAAUUUUUCUUUUUAAUUUAUUCCCAGAGGUGUCCUCUUCCUUCCAGACCCUGACCUGACCCUAUAGGGAAGUUGUGUAUCUACUUCUUCAAUGAUAUUCCUUUUCUGAGAAUAGCACUUGGCAAAAUUUCUCUGCUAUGUUUGUCAUCUUCCCUUCUUUCAUUUGGCUCACUGGCUAUCCAAAUUUGCCCACAUUGGCAUUCUCAACAUCCCCCUCCACCCAAGAACAACAACCCCAUUGAACAACAACAACAACAAGAAGUGAUGAUAAAAAAAAAAUAAAAACAUAGCCUGAGUGAUACAGUACAGAGACAGCACAAGCUUUUGGGUGACUUUAUACUAAAGUGUGAAUGACUGAUACUUGCAUACCUUCUCCAGUCUCCUUUGUGAAAAGUACGUUUUCUUUUGUAUAUUUUCAUUUUAAAGAAGUUUGCUUAUUAGCCUGAGGUUUUAAUUAGCCACUGGAUCAAAAUAAAGCCUUUCUAACUGCAUAAAGUACUUCAGACCACAGGGUCAUUUUUUUCUGAAACCUUUGGCACUAUACCAGUAGGCAGCCACAGACAGUGCCAAAAGGAUUUAGACUCUGGACUGAUUGCCAUGUAUUAGUUGUUUUUCCCCUCUUCAAAAUCUAUCAAAUAUUCAAACCUGCAGACACAAACAGGAACACACUGGAGAGAAGAGUCCCAGAGGGCGGAAGAUCCUCUACUCAUUGUCCCGUGCGCCUCACCUCCUCACACACGCACACUCCUUCAUCUCUCACCUUGCCAGGGACCUGCCCCAAGGUGAAUAGCAUCCCAGCGGGUCUAGAGGCACUAACAGAGUCCUGCUGCUUCUUCAGCCGCUGGAAGUGCCAACCGUCUCGCAUGCCCAAACCCGAUCCUUCUACAGGACACCCAGCCAGGGCCUACAGCGAGUGACCCUCCCAUAAGAGGCGCGGCCAUCAUCACCUGCCCAGGCUAGCGCACCAGGGCCUGAAGCCCAGCACACAGAGCCACGGCGUUCACUCGACCGCAGCAACCCAACCGGUUCUUUAGGCCUCAGUUCGGGCGAGUACAGGACCCUCUAUCUGGGGCUCUUUGUCCGCCACCUUCCUGGUUCCUGUUCUUAAACCUUCCUCCCAGCAGCCCCCACCAGCGCACCGACCUGCAGAAAAGUUGCUCCCGAGCUAUGGAGGGGCGUCAUCGCCUCCUAGCAACGCUCCUAGCAACCGGAUAACAUCUGCUCCCUCUGGUCCAAUGCGAGCUGAGAACAGCUGCGAGCCUGCCUCGCGUUGCGAACCCCGAGCGAGAGGCGCUUCAGAGACUGGAGGGACGGACCUGCAGGAGCCAGGGCUGCCCGCCGAGCUGCAGUUGCCGCCGCUGCCACUGUCGCGCCGCCACCACCGUCGCUGUCGCUGUCAGUGCCCUUCUGAAGAGUGACAGCGCCGUAAAAGCGGGAGGGAGCACCGAACCCCGCGCCUUUAUGAAACAGGUGCACGCGCCGGUCUCCGGGUGAGUGGACCCAGCUUGCAAGGUAGCCAUUCAUGAGUCUGAGGCUUUGAGAAAUGCUCACUGUGAAAAGGGGAACUUUCACCAGAUUUUCUGAAGCUGUCCUAGAAAUACACUUUUCAGAUUGAUUCAGCAUUACCAGCUUAUCCAACAAAAGUAUUAACAUAUACGUUAACAACGUCGAAAGUAGCCUACUUUAAGAGAAAAUAUGCAGAAGAAGAAGAUUUACAUCAAGAUUACCAUGGGUAUUUUCCAAAACACCUGAUAUUGCCUGAGGACAGGACCUGCAUUCUUAAACUUUCGCUUGAGAAGCUCAGAUUUCUUGAAGACCCAGAAACCUACUUAAGAAGGUCUGUGUUAAUUAACAAUUUGCUGAGGAAGAUCCAUCUAGAGACGGAGAAAGAGAGCUAUGAAUACUUUAAAGAAGCUCCCUGUUAUAAGACUGCUUAUUCUGAUACAAGAAAACGGCUGAAGUUUAUGGUACAGGAAUGCUGUUCUCAGUCUCUCUAUUACGAAGAGCUGCAUUCGUAUCAUAUUGUGCCUUAUGCUUCGGAGAAUGCCAUUUAUGGAAUGGGCUACACUAGCAGCCACUUGGAGCAGAAUUCUCAGUUGCUUAUUUAUAAAAUGAAUUAAAUUAACUGUUAAAGUCCAUUGAUACCUUGUUUCUAAAUGCCUGAACUGUUCAUAGUGAAGAUGUUAAUAUAAGGCACUAAUUAUCAGUGCCCUUGAGAUCAGAGAUGAGAUGCAUGCUGAACUGAUUGGAGAGAACCCUGGUUAUUCUUCAGCAGUCCUUAGUAUCAUCCAGCCAAAUCGAAAAUAUGUCCACGUAUUAUAAAGCAGAGAAUAAGUGCUUUGAAGCUAAGUUUUCUUGCCUUUUUUUUUUUUUAAGAUAGUGUGCAUAGGAAGGGACCUAAAUAAGUUCCUUUGCAAAUUUAAACAUUUCAAACCACCUAUUUCCAAAUUCUACCACUUCUCGUGGAAAGUAACAGAUUCAUAUUAAACAGAUAAUGUUUUGUCCCUGAAGAUUAAGGGUAGAACAAAUUUAAUUUUCUGUGAAUGAUGAAAGGAAGGGUCAGUCCUUUCUGAAAUGCUUUGGUUUGUCAAGCAUUGUGCCAAAUAAUUGACACCAUUCUCCUUUUACCAUUAGUGGCAAUUCAAGAUGUGACCAACCUUCUACAAUUUAACUGCUGAAUGUUAACAACCAGAACACUCUACACUGAUCCAUUUUACAUUUCUUUUUUUUUUUUUUUUUGCUUCAUAGAUUUUUCUCUUUAAAAGUGGAAUUUAUAAAAUAGCCUUGCAGAUGGGCUUAUCUCUAAGUUCUAGGGGUCAAUUAAAAUUUGUGGUUGGCCUUUAGUUGCAUUUAAAUUUAUUUAUGAUGUCACAUUUACAGGCCGUGAAGCUCAGGAAAUGGGUAGGCAGGUCAUCUUCAGUUUUAAUAGGCAGAUAAUUUUAAAGAAUCUUAUCUGCAAAAAAAUGGUGAGACCAAGAAAUCCUACAUGAUGUUAUUUCUUCAUCUGAGAGUUCAUUUAAGGCUGUCUAGAUGAACCUUUGCACUGAUUUUUGUAUAAUAGUCGACCGUUCACUAUUUGACAAAACGUUUCAGAAUGCCUUUAGUGGUGACGUUGAGAUAAGUUCCUAUAUUUUGCAAUUUGAAAGAUAAUUAGUUAACAAGUUGCAUACAUUCCUGAAACUGUUUGAAAUGGUUCAUGAUGUUCUUUGAGGUUUGAGUGAAAUGUCUGAUUUUAAUGUCUGGACUUAUGUUCCAUGGCGCACAUCAUUUAAAGAAUUGUCAUUAACUGAUAAAACAGAUUGGAAAACUAGGUGCCAAAGGUACAUUUAAGAAAAUACCAAAGACCCAAAGAUGAGUGUUAGAUAGACUAUGAUAAUGAAGAUAAGAACCUAAAGUAAGGAUUGUACAGGACAUGGAAGAACAUUAUUAAAGGGAUUUGGAGUGAUUUGCUUACUAACGUGCUUUCAGAGCACUUUAUACAUACAUGAUAGUAACAGUCAAGGGCACUGCUUGGGCCUUCAGUGUCAUAUGUUUUCACAGAUCUAGACAUUGCGACUUUUCAGCAUUGUAUCCUCCCUUGUUGAAUGCCAUCUCGUAAUCAAGAAGGUCUUUAUCUCUUCAAGAGAAUUUUGUUUUUAGUUUUGAUUCACUACUUGCUCCCUCUAAUGAAUUAUCAGGGCGAUUAACAGGGAUGCUUUUGGUAUAAAGAAUAUGAGUCCCCUAAUUAGCAUGCAUUGUUAAAGACCACAUAGAUAUAUAACUGAUAAGAUUAUCAGAUUUCUAUUUAAUUGCUCAGUCAGAAUUAGAGAAAAAUGAUUUGGAACAAAUUAAAAUAUUAUAACUGGGGCUAAUUUUUAAGGCAAUUUAGUAUGAAUGGUGAGAUAGCUUUGACAUACAAAUAUAUUUUAAAAUUAAUUUAAGGACAAAAUUUGUUACCAAAUUUCAAAAAUUUAUUUCACUACUUAUACCAUACCUUACUUCCCAGAAUAUGUUUAUUAAAAUGUAGUUUUCUUAAACAAUGAAAAUAUUAAUUGAACAGACUCCAAAUUUGAUAGGAUAAUUAUGUACUUUAAAAAAUGGAAUUAGUUCUCUAAUAGUUUAAAACUUCUUACCAAUAGGGACAUUUGGCUUGGUUUAGGACAGUAUCUAUAAGAAAAACGCACCAGUGCUAAUAGAAUGACUUACAAAAAUGCAACAUAUUGAAAUUGUUUGAGGAUAUAAAUGUGUAUACUUUGGGACUGAAAAGAGAGGGGGAGAAAAAAUUACCAAGAAAGUAUAAUAUUGUAAAAUUUACUGUUUGUCUGAAAUCUUAAUGCAAGAACUCUUGGGCAAUGAACCUGUAACAGACAUAAAAUCUGUUUUAUUUGAUGACAUCAUUAACUGAGCUCUCUGAAUUUUGCAUUCAUAUACAGAGAAGGAACUGUCUUAGAAUUCAUUGGUAUUUGUGAAUAUGCUUCUCUUUUUUAAGAAAUAUGUGUUGAUUUCAAACUAGGUUAUUUAAAAACUAUCUUUUAGAGCAUUUAAUUUCUUUUCCAAUAAACAAUUCGUAGAUAAGGAGCUGACUAAUGUUAUCUUGACUCAUUGAAAAAUUAUAAUUUGUAUUUAAGCUAUUUAAACUUGUCUGAGUUAACCAAUGAGAUUGCUGUGAUUUUACCAUGGCAACCUGUUACAUAGGGACCUGCUCUGCUGUCUCCAUCCUGCACGAUCUGUUAUGGGAGAUGCAAAGGUAGGAAAACAACGGCAAGUUUUGAAAACAGUGACAACUUUUUUGAACCUGGACAUCCUUUCUUUGGUGACAAGAGCCAUGCUUAAGAUAAGAUAGGAUGGGAAAUGUAUGAGUGCCUUUGGUAAUGUAGACUAAUUUUGUGGGUGCCCAAACAGCCUUAAGUUCUCAUAAAGAAGAAGAAAAAGAAACAGAGAGGAAAAGAGAGGAAGAAAAAAGGAGGGGGAGGUGCAGAGAUAUGAGGAACAGAAUUAGUAAGUGAAAGCGCAAGUUGUUUCAUGUGAGGGUUGUUGCUUGCUUGCUGUACUCAACUGUUCUCUCCUUUGUCUGCUGUGCUCCCCGAAUCUGAACACCCGCAGGGUAUUGAUCCUUUCUUUUACUCACCACUGAUGCCUAAGACUAGAUUCUAUUCUGUAUAUAGAUGACUUGAAAUGUGGUACCACUACGAAAUAUCCCUAAAAUGGAACUCCUUGGGUGGAUGAGAAAAGGAAAAAUAGAAAUUAAGCUGGAAGAAAGACUAAAUGGUGAGUGAGCUGGUGUACAUGUGGUUAAUCUCAAACACAUGAGAGGAUUUCAGUGUGCAUUCCAAGAUGUAAUAAAGUCAGUGCUAGAGGACUUUUAAAUAAGUGCAGUUCCCCGCCAUUUAUUGCUUAACUGUUAGGAGUCAGGCAUGGUGCCAGGGUUGAGGAGACACAGGUGAGUGAUGCGCAGUUCUUUUGUCCAAGCUGUUCAUUGAUGAGGGAGGAACUCAGAGAUAUUUGGUUUCAUUUUUAAAAGUAAGAAUUCUUUACUGGGAGUAGCACUUGCAUUUCUCUUUUCCAGACUCUGGGAUGGUUAUCAAACAUGUAUCUCCAAAGGUGUUUGUAGCCAAGAAGAGGCACAGGGAGAAAAGAAGGUAUACUGAGCUAGAUUUUAGAAUGGAAGGAGAGUACAUUCUGCUUUGCAGUGUAUUUUAUAUUUGGAAGAAUGAGAGAAAACCAGUGCUGCGGAAGGGAGAUGUCGCUCAUCCCUGGGGCACAAGAGGUUGUAGGUGAGGAAGGGAGACCAGUAAAAGUGCAGAACAAUUCCUCCUCCCCACCUCUCUAACUUUGAUGUACUUUUACACGGCAAAUCAGGUUAAUAUUGUCAAUGAUAUCCCUGAAGGGAUAGCAGAAUCAGGAAAUCAGUCUGAGGGUUGUAUACAAUGUGUUCAAGUUAGAGGGCAGUUUUCUUUAAUUUGCCUUGUAUUGGUAAAUUGCUAAAAUGAACCUCGGGAUUUCUUAACAUCAGCUGCUGGAGGCGUGCUCCUCUCCCAGUUGCUUCCUUUCUGAAUCACAGCUCAGCCAACCCCUGUCUUUUCAGUCUGUCGGAAGUGGAGCUUAUGGUUCUAAUACUCUCUCCCCUCUCUUUUUUAAAAUUUUGAUUGGUGUAUAGUUGAUUUACAAUGCUGUGUUAGUUUCAGGUGUACAGCAAAGUGAAUCAGUUAUAUAUAUACAUAUAUCUACUCUUUGUUUUUAAAGAUUCUUUUCCCAUAAAGGCCAGUACAGAGUAUUGAGUAACGUUCCCUGUGGUAUACAGCAGGUUAUUAAUUACCUAAUUUAUGCUGUUGAUACUGAUUUGUUCAAAACUGUUUGGAAGAAAACAACAAUUUGCAGUGCUGGUUGAGCCCCCUUGAGAAAGGUUUCCAGAGUGUAUCAAACUAGAAUCCAUCAUAGUUUCUUGAUAGAAUUAUUUGAAAUACUAUUCGACAUAGUCAUUAAAUAACUAUCUACUAAGGUAAUCUUUAUGUUUCUGGAGUUCAAUGUAAUGGUUAAAAUUUCUACAUGUUUUGCUAAAUACCUUAGGUUGGAAACAAAGGAAGAUCAUGUGUAAUUAAUUCAAGCAGUUGGUUCAUGAGUAUUUAUGUAAUAUUUGAAAUUUAAAUUUAUGUUCUUUUUUUCCCAUCAAACUUCAUUACUGUAAAUCAGCAAUGUGACAUGUCUCAUGAUUAUUAUUUCCUUAGUAAGUGGGCCAUGUCUAAAAGUUUGUACCUUCAUGGUUGAACCCUUUGGAUUGUAUUUCUCCAUUAAAGUUUCUGUCUUUCCAUAAAGAUUAUUCUACAGUUGAGUGGAUAAAGAAGAUUCCUCUACAGUAACACUUUUCAAAUCUUGUGCAUGCAAGUCACCAGACAUCAAGUUAGAAUACAAACUCUUUUCAGUAGGCCUGGUGUGGAGUCUGAGAGUCUGCAUUUCUCAAGUUUCCUAGAUGACAUGGGUGCUGCUGGCUCACUGAGUACUCUGAGUAGCGAUGCUCUACGUGGCUUUGAGAAUGAAAAUAUACAUUCAGGCCUACAGUCUUACUACUUUCAAAGCAUUUGCAUUCAUGUCUGCUUUCCACGGAAACUUUUUCUUCAAAGAAAUGAAAGGCAAGAAGUAUCAUAAGCUAAUUUUUCAAACUGGCCACAAAUAUGACAAUAUUCUAUACAGUAAAAUCCCUAGAAAAUGAUUUAUAAAUUUUAUCUACAUCAAGUGCAGAAAGGGGAUAUGGAGGUAGUCAUGUGCCAUUCUUGAAUAUCUGCAUGGGUUGAAGAAUUUGGUAAACCUGAACUGAAAAUGGUACCUGGAACUUCAUCUUCUUAUCUUGAACUCUUUCUUGAGUUUUAUACCAUGAAAAAUCCUCCCUUUGGUACAGACAUUCUGUUUCUCUUAAGCUGUUGGUGUCUGAGUGAGGAUUGGUGUGAAAGAGGGAGUCACCUGAAUUGUCUGAUUUGAGCAUGCCAAGUGAUUUUUGUCAGGCUCUCUUUUGGUCUUAAAUUGUUGGUAUAGCUAUUGUGAAAUAUAGUGCCAUAAGUUUGUCACAAAAUGAAAGGAGAAAAGCAGAAAUUUAGUUCUGUGGAAUGCACUAAGAAACCAAACAGAUGGUGUUCUACAACAUUUAUGUGGGAAAAUGUGUAUCUGUUACAUAAUCUAAAAUAUGUCUUUUUCACAUUUAAAAUAUUUGGGUCAUGAUUUAGUUUCUAUUGGAUUGUUUUUUAAACUUAGAAGAAGAAGAAAGGUCACUGUAUUUUAAGGCAUAUUUGACAUGUUACUAAUAAAAUUUUAUUUCUGGUGAAA